AAAGAACUUUGAAGAGAGAGUUCAAGAGUACGUGAAACUGCUCAGGGGCAAACGGGUGGGCCCUCGAAGUCCGCGCGGAGAGGGAUUCAGUCGCGAGCGGCGGGGGUGCGAAGGCGAACGGGAUCUCCGAGAAGAGUCCCGGCCCAGCACCGUCCCGUCGUUAGCGACGCACUUUCCUCUCCCGGAGGACGCCGCAGCCGAUCGGGCGUCGGCAGUGAGGACGAAGCGGGUAGGUGGCGUGGACCCGGUCUCGCACCGCGGUCCCGUGUCUGGCCCGCAGAGUUCCGAGCGCGACUUCCGAUCGUGGGAGAGGUCUCGUUCGCGAGACGAGCCGUUGCCUCGCCGAGUGCGAGCGGCAGCAAGGGUCAGGGAUUCCCCUCGUACUCCGAGUCACCGUGCGGUGGCCGGGGGCGCGGGGCUCCCGUUGAGGCCCGGCCGGCCGCUGAGUAGGCAUGUGGCUGGCGGCGAGUAGGUCGGUAACCCACCCGACCCGUCUUGAAACACGGACCAAGGAGUCUAACAUGUGCGCGAGUCAGUGGGACUCGAAUAAGCCCACGGGCAGAACGAAAGUGAGAAGUCGGGAUCCGUCGCCCUAGCGGGUGGCGGCGCACCGACGGCCUGGCGCGACCCACGUCAGUGGAAGGCGCCCGAGCCAGAGCGUACACGUUGGGACCCGAAAGAUGGUGAACUAUGCCCGGGCAGGUCGAAGCUAGAGGAAACUCUGGUGGAGGACCGCAGCGGUUCUGACGUGCAAAUCGAUCGUCGAACCUAGG
rnacentral:rRNA from 1 species